rnacentral:rRNA from 1 species
AGGACGAACGCUGGCGGCGCGCUUAACACAUGCAAGUCGAACGGAGCUCUUCGGGGCUCAGUGGCGAACGGGUGCGUAACACGUGAGCAACCUGCCUGGUCGUGGGGGAUAACCAGUGGAAACGCUGGCUAAUACCGCAUGAGCUCAUUUGCCCGAUUGGGUGAUUGAGGAAAGCUCCUGCAAGGGAGUGCGACCAGAGGGGCUCGCGGCGUAUCAGCUAGUUGGAGGGUAACGCCCACCAAGGCGAUGACGCGUAGCCGAUCUGAGAGGAUGAUCGGCCACAUUGGGACUGAGAUACGGCCCAGACUCCUACGGGAGGCAGCAGGUGGGAAUCUUGCGCAAGUGGGCGAAGCCUGACGCAGCGACGCCGCGUGCGGAGACGCUUUCGGAGUGUAACGCUGUCGGAGGAGAAGUGUCGGGAGAAGUGCCUUGAUUGACGUACC